rnacentral:lncRNA from 1 species
CCAGUCCCCCCAGGAAGGAGCUGGUGGAUCCCAGUCCCCCCAGGAAGGAGCUGGUGGAUCCCAGUCCCCCCAGGAAGGAGCUGGUGGAUCCCAGUCCCCCCAGGAAGGAGCUGGUGGAUCCCAAAUCUCCCCAGGAAGGAGCUGGUGGAUUCCAGCCCCUCCAGGAAGGACCUAGUGGAUCCCAGUCCCCCCAGGAAGGAGCUGGUGGAUCCCAGUCCCUCCAGGAAGGAGCUGGUGGAUCCCAACCCCUUCAAGAAGGAGCUGGUGGAUCCCAAACCUCCCCAGGAAGGAGCUGGUGGAUCCCAGCCCCCCCAGGCAGGACGUGGGGGCUCCCUGAGCCAAGUCCCGCGCUCCCCCCCCCGGGGCCGUACCUGGUUGGGGACGGCGCGCUUCUUGUUGGCCUGCGUGCUCCGCUGCUGGGCGCUGGAAGGGAAGGGCGGGAUUUGGGAUCAAGGUUUAGGAUUCAGGAUUUAGGAUUCAGGAUUUAGGAUUCAGAAGCCGGGCGUCGGCACGAGGCGCACGCUCACGACGACGACGACGUGCGAGUUAAAAGAGAGCGGAACAGCCAGCAGCUUGCACGCGCAAACAGGCACGGGGACGUCAGCACAGAGACCCACGAUCCCCUUCACUGCUGCAGUCAGUGCUCAUGGGGUGGGGGGGGGGGGGGGGGNCGGAAGCUCGUGGAUCCCAACCCCUCGGGGAGGAGCCGGUGGAUCCCACACCUCUCCGAGAAGGAGCCGGUGGAUCCCGAUCCCCCCAGGAAGAGGAAGGAGCUGCUGGAUCCCAAAGACAGCGUGGGCAGGAGGGCGGGACCCCCGGAAGCCCCCCCCGGACCCCGUGACGUUGACCCACGGCCAUCUCCCAGCCCCACAGCGCACCCUGAGCCAACGGAACCCGACACCGACAACAGCCCCGCAACACCCGGCGGCUACAGGAGCACGCUGCGCCCGCAGCCUGAAGCCCUGAGGGGGCUUGGAGGCCAGCGGGGCCGAUGGCAACGAGCAGAGCCCAAAUUUGGGGGGGGAGGAUGGGGGGGGGGGUGAGGUCCCAGCAGUGCCCCCUCUGGUGUGGGGGCAGCUCAGGCCCCUCCUUCCCUCUGUGGCCCUAUAGGAUCGCUGGGGUGUUGGGGAACCCCCAGCCUCCAGCACCCUAUAGGAUCUCUGGGGGACCCCAGCCUCCAGCACCCUAUAGGAUCUCUGGGGUGUUGGGGGAACCCCAACCUCCAGCACCCUAUAGGGUUUUUGGGGCGCUGGGGGAUCCCACCCUUCUCCCACCAUCUCUGGGCUCAGCUCUGCGGGGCCGGGGCUGCCGGGCUCAGUGCGGAGCGCGGACGGGACCCGGGGUUAAAGCAGAGAGGAGCGGAGCCGGGACGCGGGGCGGCUCAGCCGGGAGCAGCCGGGACGGAUGCGGCAACGUGGCCAAAUUCGGCACCGGCGCCGAGGGCAUCCGAGCCGGGGCUGCCCCCGGUAGAGCUGAGCCAGAAUCCCGUGUUAGUGAGACAGACACACGGACAGCGCGGCACGCGGAAAAGCGAUCCGGCGGCGGCAGGGACGGAGCCCCCACAAUUAAGGCACUGAGCGAGGAUUUUGGGGCGGGGGUCGCAUCUCUGAGCACGGGUUGGUUUGGGGAGG